rnacentral:rRNA from 1 species
GGGCGUAAAGAGCUCGUAGGUGGUUCGUUACGUCGGAUGUGAAAAUCUGGGACUCAACCCCAGACCUGCAUCCGAUACGGGCGAGCUAGAGUUUGGUAGGGGAAACUGGAAUUCCUGGUGUAGCGGUGGAAUGCGCAGAUAUCAGGAGGAACACCAAUGGCGAAGGCAGGUCUCUGGGCCAAUACUGACACUGAGGAGCGAAAGCGUGGGGAGCGAACAGGAUUAGAUACCCUGGUAGUCCACGCCGUAAACGGUGGGCGCUAGUUGUGGGAACCUUCCACGGUUUCUGCGACGCAGCUAACGCGUUAAGCGCCCCGCCUGGGGAGUACGAUCGCGAGAUGUUAACUCAAAGGAAUUGACGGGGCCCCGCACAAGCAGCGGAGCACGCGGCUUAAUUCGACGCAACGCGAAGAACCUUACCAAGGCGUGAUAUAUACAGGAAUAUGGCAGAGAUGUCAUAGCGGUAAAACGUCUGUAUACAGGUGGUGCAUGGUUGUCGUCAGCUCGUGUCGUGAGAUGUUGGGUUAAGUCCCGCAACGAGCGCAACCCUCGUUCUGUGUUGCCAGCAUUUAGUUGGGGACUCACAGGAGACUGCCGGGGUUAACUCGGAGGAAGGUGGGGAUGACGUCAAAUCAUCAUGCCCCUUAUGUCUUGGGCUGCACGCAUGCUACAAUGGCUGGUACAAAGGGCUGCAAUACUGCAAAGUGGAGCGAAUCCCAAAAAGCCAGUCUCAGUUCGGAUUGGGGUCUGCAACUCGACCCCAUGAAGUCGGAGUUGCUAGUAAUC